rnacentral:lncRNA from 1 species
AUGUCCCUUCCAAGCCAAAGGAUUCUAGGAUUCUAUGACAUCACAGCCAUUAGCUGUAGCUACGACAACAAGUUAAGGGGAUCUACAGAAGAGAGUUUUGAUCCUGCUCAGAUUCAGCUGGCCUUCAACAGUGGCACAUACAGAAAACUUAUUGCCUUAUGUUAAGGAGCCUCCUUUGUCCUCAGGACUUCCCAACAACAUUUGGUAGUGCAACUCUGAAGAUGUCCUAUUAAUAUACUGUGACAGACAAUGAUUUUGGCUCAGGAGUAACCUGGGAUCAUCUCUUUCAGCUCUGCCCUACUGAUAAAACUUUGUGUCUGAGGAACUUAUGACCUCGCUGAAGAACAUUUGUGUCACCGAUCUAAAGCUAAUGACAUACUCACUUGAGUUGUGCUAAAGUGGAGUUUAACAGCUACACAAAUUUAUCUUAGCUAACGACUACAGUGCCAUCUUAAAACUUGUGAGCAAGAGGGACCAUAAUAUUACCAUAAUAGUGAUGGUGGAAUGCUGAGAAAACUCACGGAACCACCUCUCAAAGACUUGGCCCAGCUCUGGCACUGCACACAAACCAGUAAUUGUUAACAUUUUACUUGGCUUGCUACCAGCUAAAUCAGUUACACUGAUUUCAGUAACCCUCCUAAACGUUGGCAAAAAUUGUCCAAGUACCUCAAGAAUUACUAAGAAAAGUAGAGAUGAGAAGAGGGCCAUGUGUAAGGGACAAUCUUAUUUUGACCUUUUUGCUGCAGAGACAAAAAUUAUUCAGAUAAGAACGUAAAUUAUCUUGAAAAAGGAGGAAAAGGAGAGAGAAGAAAGCAAAGAACUGGGGAGAAAAUGACAAUGAGAACUUGAUUCCUUCCUCAUAAUGCAAGGCUGCACAACAGGAUGUUUGAGUCAGUCCUUGCUUUCUUAUUUACAGUACCAUACUGCUUUUUUCUCAAUGGAAAGAUAAACAAACAAGACUUUUGGCCUGAAAAUGGCACUGGAUUUGAUACGCUUUACACAUAGAGAGCUGCUCGGCUAAAUUGGUGGUCCCAUUAAUUUUCCCAGCAGUUACUUUGAGCCAGACCCAGCCCUAUCCUGGCUCAGGAACAACAGGUACUCAGGCAGAGAGGGAGGGCAGAUGGGGCCAAUGGAGGAAGAACAGUGUCCAAAAACCUAUUUGGAA